AGGCUCAAGUCCUGUGAAUGGCGUCCAAAAAUACAUGAAAAAUACAAUUGUUCAAAGCCUUACCUUCAUAAAAAAACCCAAAUUCUUCUGGUAUUUCACCAUCAGCACAAUUAGAGUCAGCAACAUUCUUUGUUUUUUUCUUGUCACUCCGCUUUGUGACAUUUUCCACGUAUUGCGUGGACACAUGAAAUAACAUUCUUAGACGUAAUUGUGAUGAAUUCAAAAAAUGAAAAUAACCCGUACACAACCUUUUUAUACAGCUCAUUUUCAAAUAAUAAAAGCUUUUGUUAUAAUACGACGUGAAUUUUGGCAAAACUACUGAUGCUUGUAAAACCUAUCCCUACAGUUUUGAAAACGCAGAUGUAUUCUACUCAAUUUUCAAAAAUAAUCCUCGAGUAUACUUUUUUAUGAAACUUUAGAAAAAAGUUCGCAAAUUUUUUUUUGAAAGUCUAGGACUAUAGCAAUACAAAAAAAAAGAAAAAAUUGUAAAACAUGUUUGUACUACUUACCCUUUCAGAUGAUUUUAUUUAAACAACAAUUAAACCUUUUUUAAAACACACAGACUGUAUGUUAGACUGGUAAUUUUCACAGAACAAAAAGAAUACGUUAAAUCUGUUUUUUGUUUGGUUAUUUAUUGGCACGAUUAGUGCUCUGGAUGUAUAAUUUGAAUAAAAACAACACAUUAAAAUUUUUUUGAAUUAUGCUUUCAGCUAUUUUUUCCAGCGGAUGUACUAUUGAUUUAAUUCUUGAUCGCGAAAACAAUCGUCAGUGUGGUAUAGUCAAUGCGUUGGAGAAACGACAAGAAAAGAGAAAAACGGCGCUCAUUUUUAAUAAUUAUGAAGAUGUUAGUGGUACAGCAGUUAUAAAUAUAAGCCCAGCCCGUAAAUUAGAGCAUUACGGAAUUCGUGUUGAGCUGAUAGGCCAAUUGAAUGUGUAUAAAGACACCAAUGUGCCUUACUGUUUUUUUGCUAUUUUCAAAGAUCUUGACUCUCCUGGUUGUUUAUAUGAAUCUAAAACCUAUCACUGGAAACUUCAAGGAGUAGAAAAAGAAUAUGAAACAUACUGGGGCGUCAAUGUUUCUGUGAGAUACUUUGUUCGAUUAUGUGUGGUUCAAAAAUACGGUUCAACGUUGAUGAAAGAAGUAGAUCUUAUUGUUCAAAAUCCGGUUCAAAUUGUUCCCGAAUCUGAAAAAGUAAAAAUGGAGUCUCUAUAAUAAUAAGUUUGUUUUGCAAAAGGUUGGAAUUGAAGGUUGUCUACAUAUAGAAUUUGAGUAUGAUAAGCUUUACUAUCAUUUAAAGGAUGUGGUUCGAGGCAAAAUUAAUUUUUUACUUGUCCGAAUUAAAUUAAAGUAUAUGGAAAUCCACAUUGUUAAAACAGAAACUGUAAAGGGAUCUUAUCAGCAGUAUACAACUACAGAUAUUAUUGGAAAAUUUGAAGUUAUGGAUGGUUCACCACUUAAAUUAGAAUGUAUACCCGUUCGCUUAUAUCUUUGCUGUUAUGAUUUAACUCCAACGUACAAUAAUAUACAAAAUCGUUAUUCCGUUAAAUAUUACUUAAAUAUUGUUUUGGUGGAUGAAGAAGAAAGAAGGUAUUUCAAACGACAUGAUAUCACGUUAUAUCGGAAAGAAAUAACGUAACAAAAUUUUUUGAAAAAUUGAAACAAAUUAUUAAUGUCUACUAUAACUUUUAACGUCACUAUUUAAAGGAAUGAGUUCUUUGUUUUACGGACGUUUUAAGGUAAUAGGAAGUUGUUUUUCUUUUUCUUAAAGUUUUUUCGAAAAACAUUGUAAUGUGUCAAAGCAUUGUUGAAUAAUUUAUUAUUAUCAAAUGGGUGAUUUAUCCCCAACUGCACUAAAAUAGUGGUUAAACCAGUCGAAUGUACACUACAAAAGACUGUAUCGAUUUGUUACUGGUAUGUUUUUGAAAGAUGAUUAUUGACCCUCUUAGUAUAAAAAAGAGUUUUUUGUUCUAUAAAAAUAAAUGUUUUUUUUUCAAUAUUUUGUU